GAUGAACGCUGGCGGCGUGCCUAAUACAUGCAAGUCGAGCGAACAGACGAGGAGCUUGCUCCUCUGACGUUAGCGGCGGACGGGUGAGUAACACGUGGAUAACCUACCUAUAAGACUGGGAUAACUUCGGGAAACCGGAGCUAAUACCGGAUAAUAUAUUGAACCGCAUGGUUCAAUAGUGAAAGACGGUUUUGCUGUCACUUAUAGAUGGAUCCGCGCCGCAUUAGCUAGUUGGUAAGGUAACGGCUUACCAAGGCAACGAUGCGUAGCCGACCUGAGAGGGUAAUCGGCCACACUAGAACUGAGACACGGUCCAGACUCCUACGGGAGGCAGAAGUAGGGAAUCUUCCGCAAUGGGCGAAAGCCUGACGGAGCAACGCCGCGUGAGUGAUGAAGGUCUUCGGAUCGUAAAACUCUGUUAUUAGGGAAGAACAAAUGUGUAAGUAACUAUGCACGUCUUGACGGUACCUAAUCAGAAAGCCACGGCUAACUACGUG
rnacentral:rRNA from 1 species